rnacentral:misc_RNA from 1 species
GUGAAUCAUCGAAUCUUUGAACGCACCUUGCGCCCUCUGGUAUUCCGGAGGGCAUGCCUGUUUGAGUGUCAUGUAGACUCAAUCCCUCGGGUUUCCGAGGAGAUUGGACUUGGGUGUUGCCGCUCUGCCGGCUCGCCUUAAAAGACUAAGCGGGAUAGCACCGUAGUCGGCGUAAUAAGUUUCGUCGGUGAAGGUUGUGAUGACUGCUUACAAUCGCCCUCGGGCAAUUUUUGACUCUGACCUCAAAUCAGGUAGGACUACCCGCUGAACUUAAGCAUAUCAAUAAGCGGAGGA